UGUCGGUUAUUCGCUCGUCGGUGUCUAACUGGCAUGGUUCGUGGGACGUCCUGCCGGUGGUGGCGAGUCAAAGCCGAGCUCCCGUCACGGUUCCCCGUGUUCGGUUCUUGCUCGUCGGAGACGGACCCCGAUGAAAUCCUACCGCGGUGCUCUUUACCGAGUGUCGAGGUGGGCCGGCACGUUUACUUUGAACAAAUUAGAGUGCUUAAAGCA
rnacentral:rRNA from 1 species